AUCCAGCUGACGAGUCCCAAAUAGGACGGAGCGCGCAUCCUAGAU
rfam:Schistosoma curassoni strain Dakar, Senegal genome assembly, scaffold: SCTD_scaffold0000131